CUCCCGUGCACGCGCUCACGGCAGCGCCCGAGUCUGCCGUCCAAUGAGAAGCCACGGCGUGGCUCUUGGCCUUCGGGGCGCGUGAAAAGUGCGUUCGGCGGAGAGACGCGGUUGACUGUGGAAUAGGCUGCUGUUAACUCUUCUUUUAAAUGUGUGAAUGCUUAAUAUUGAGUUUCCGGGCACAAGUUCGCCCACAAUAAACCAGUGUGUUUAGUGUG
rnacentral:lncRNA from 1 species